rnacentral:rRNA from 1 species
UACGAAGGGGGGCUAGCGUUGCUCGGAAUCACUGGGCGUAAAGCGCACGUAGGCGGCUUUUUAAGUCAGGGGUGAAAUCCUGGAGCUCAACUCCAGAACUGCCUUUGAUACUGGGAGCUUGAGUCCGGAAGAGGUGAGUGGAACUCCGAGUGUAGAGGUGAAAUUCGUAGAUAUUCGGAAGAACACCAGUGGCGAAGGCGGCUCACUGGUCCGGUACUGACGCUGAGGUGCGAAAGCGUGGGGAGCGAACAGG